rnacentral:rRNA from 1 species
CCUACGGGAGGCAGCAGUGGGGAAUAUUGCACAAUGGGCGAAAGCCUGAUGCAGCGACGCCGCGUGAGGGAUGACGGCCUUCGGGUUGUAAACCUCUUUCAGCAGGGAAGAAGCGAGAGUGACGGUACCUGCAGAAGAAGCGCCGGCUAACUACGUGCCAGCAGCCGCGGUAAUACGUAGGGCGCAAGCGUUGUCCGGAAUUAUUGGGCGUAAAGAGCUCGUAGGCGGCUUGUUGCGUCGGUUGUGAAAGCCCGGGGCUUAACCCCGGGUCUGCAGUCGAUACGGGCAGGCUAGAGUGUGGUAGGGGAGAUCGGAAUUCCUGGUGUAGCGGUGAAAUGCGCAGAUAUCAGGAGGAACACCGGUGGCGAAGGCGGAUCUCUGGGCCAUUACUGACGCUGAGGAGCGAAAGCGUGGGGAGCGAACAGGAUUAGAUACCCUGGUAGUCCACGCCGUAAACGUUGGGAAACUAGGUGUUGGCGACAUUCCACGUCGUCGGUGCCGCAGCUAACGCAUUAAGUUCCCCGCCUGGGGAGUACGGCCGCAAGGCUAAAAACUCAAAAGGAAUUAGACGGCGNGAGAGNGCGACGACGACACGAGGAGAG